AUUGAACGCUGGCGGAAUGCUUUACACAUGCAAGUCGAACGGUAGAGGGGGCAACCCCUCGAGAGUGGCGAACGGGUGAGUAAUAUAUCGGAACGUGCCCAGUCGGGGGGGAUAACGUAGCGAAAGUUACGCUAAUACCGCAUACGAUCUAAGGAUGAAAGCGGGGGAUCGCGAGACCUCGCGCGAUUGGAGCGGCCGAUAUCAGAUUAGGUAGUUGGUGGGGUAAAGGCUCACCAAGCCAACGAUCUGUAGCUGGUCUGAGAGGACGACCAGCCACACUGGAACGGGGACACGGUCCAGACUCCUACGGGAGGCAGCAGGGGGGAAUUUUGGACAAUGGACGCAAGUCUGAUCCAGCCAUUCCGCGUGCAGGAUGAAGGCCCUCGGGUUGUAAACUGCUUUUGUACGGAACGAAAAGGUCUCUCUUAAUACGGGGGGCUCAUGACGGUACCGUAAGAAUAAGCACCGGCUAACUACGUGCCAGCCGCCGCCGUAA
rnacentral:rRNA from 1 species